AAACACACUACUUUAGAAUUGUUACCUCAUCAUAUACCAGCAAGCGAUGGUGGCAUUCAGUUGCCACUUCUCGAGAAAGUUUUCUAAAGUAAAUGCUCUAAGAUAAAGGAGGUGUGAGGGCUAUAGUCAGAAAGAAACCUCUCUAAAAUUUGGUCCAGCUGAGUGGAACAUUGAAAGAACAUCCUAGUCUCCCUCCCUCCAUGCGACCCCAUUUUUAAAAAUCUUAAUUGUGUUUCUUAUAUUAGAAUUAGACUUUGUGAAAAAGCAAUUUUUAAAAAUGUAAAAUAAUUUUUGUGCAGCUAUAGAAAGAAAUACAUGUUUAAAAUUUUUCUGAGCUCAUUAAUUAAAUGAGAAAGCCAGAAAGAUUUUAUAGCUGGCUCAAAUGAAAAUGGAAAUAAGAGACAUUUAUACAUCAGAAAUAUUGGAAUGAGGAUGCAAAUGGAGGCAACACUA
rnacentral:lncRNA from 10 species